rnacentral:rRNA from 1 species
CAGUCGAACGAAACUUCUUUAUCACCGAGUGCUUGCACUCACCGAUACAGAGUUGAGUGGCGAACGGGUGAGUAACACGUGGGCAACCUGCCCAAAAGAGGGGGAUAACACUUGGAAACAGGUGCUAAUACCGCAUAACCAUAGUUACCGCAUGGUGACUAUGUAAAAGGUGGCUAUACUACCGCUUUUGGAUGGGCCCGCGGCGCAUUAGCUAGUUGGUAGGGUAAAGGCUUACCAAGGCAAUGAUGCGUAGCCGAAUUGAGAGGUUGAUCGGCCACAUUGGGACUGAGACACGGCCCAAACUCCUACGGGAGGCAGCAGUAGGGAAUCUUCCACAAUGGGCGAAAGCCUGAUGGAGCAACGCCGCGUGGGUGAAGAAGGUCUUCGGAUCGUAAAACCCUGUUGUUAGAGAAGAAAGUGCGUGAGAGUAACUGUUCACGUUUCGACGGUAUCUAACCAGAAAGCCACGGCUAACUACGUGCCAGCAGCCGCGGUAAUACGUAGGUGGCAAGCGUUAUCCGGAUUUAUUGGGCGUAAAGGGAACGCAGGCGGUCUUUUAAGUCUGAUGUGAAAGCCUUCGGCUUAACCGGAGUAGUGCAUUGGAAACUGGGAGACUUGAGUGCAGAAGAGGAGAGUGGAACUCCAUGUGUAGCGGUGAAAUGCGUAGAUAUAUGGAAGAACACCAGUGGCGAAAGCGGCUCUCUGGUCUGUAACUGACGCUGAGGUUCGAAAGCGUGGGUAGCAAACAGGAUUAGAUACCCUGGUAGUCCACGCCGUAAACGAUGAAUGCUAAGUGUCGGAGGGUUUCCGCCCUUCAGUGCUGCAGCUAACGCAAUAAGCAUUCCGCCU